AUAGGUACUAUAUUGGAUUUGAAUCAGAUUUCGGAUCAAUCUAUAUUGAGUGACUACCUCCAUUAUGUUGUUGCUAGCAAAUACCACUAUUUUUGGUUUUGGAUCUUCCAAAUCAUUCCCGCAGAAGAUCCGGACCCAUUUUUUUCUGAUCCUUCGAGAAAAAGAUUCAUUCUCUUCAUAAAAAAUAGGAGGUAGAACCAAUAAAGAUUUGUUUUUCGAUUCAUCCCUGGCCUCAUUUAAGAAUUGUUUUUGAUCCAAUCCACAGGAAUCAAUAGAAAAGUCCAAUCCCUUAUGAUACACCAGAUCCGGCUCGGUUAUUGAUAGAGUGAAUAGAUCAGACGUGGGGUAUUGGUUGACUACAUCCUCAUAAGGAAUAACCAAAGAAGGAUCACCAACGCACUUCCUCAACAUGGAAACAUGAAAGACCAGAUAAACUAAGCUCAUGCUAGAAGACAACUCUGGCUCUUAAGAAACAUUACCAACUCUACAAAUUCUCAUAAGGACAACCAUACCGAGGACAGAGCUUCCCCUUCUUACCAAACCACAUUACUCCCUUCAUGAGAGAUACCUUGAGGAAAACCUUAUCCCCAACCUCAAACUCCAAGUCUCUAUACCUAAUAUCUGUAUAACACUUUUGGAGAAUUUUCAAAGCCUUAAGCCUAUCCCAAAUCACCUUCACCUUGUCCAUAGUUUGGUAAACCAAGUCGGGACCAAACAUAUUUGCCUCCCCAAGCUCAAACCAACCAAUAGGAUAUCUACAGCUCCUACUAUACAAUGCCUUAAAAGGGGCCAUAACAAUACAAGAAUGAUAGCUAUUCUUGUAAGCAAACUCCACUAAAGGUAGAUGCUCAACCCAAUUGCCACCAUAAUCAAUCACAUAAGCCUGAAGCAUACCCUUCAAUGUCUAAAUAUUUCUCUCUGCUUAUCUAUUUGUUUGCAGAUGAAAAGCAGUAUUCAGGCUCACUUUAGUAUGCAAUCUCUUCUUAAAAGAUUGCCAGAAGUGAGAUGUAAACUAUGUGCCAUGAUAAAAAAUAAUCAAAAUAGGCACCCCAUGCAACUUCACAAUAUCCUAAAGAUAUAGCUUCGUAUAAUCCUCCACCGAGAAAAAUGGGCAGACUUAGUCAUCCUAUCCACGAUGACCCAAACUGAAUCAUAUUGAUUUUGAUAGCGAGGAAGAUCGAUAAUAAAGUCCAUAUUGAUCACUUCCCAUUUUUACUCGGGCAAAUGAAUUUCUUGAUACAACCCUCCCGGCCUUAUAUGCUUAACCUUAACCUAUUGACAGACCAUGCACUUGGUCACAAAAUCAUCCACAUAUCUCUUCUUGCCGUACCACCAAUAGAUCUCUUUGAGAUCAUGAUACAUCUUAGUUAAGUUGGGAUGAAUAACAUACAUGAUUCAUGUGCCUCAACCUAAAUCCUUUAUCGCAAUCUAUCAAUAUCAGGAACAUACAACCUCUCUUGGUACCGUAAAGUACCAUCACCACCAAUCUCAAACACCACUACCUUUUUCCCACCAAUGUCAGUCUUGAUUUAAUCAAGAUAGGAUCUAGCACUUGCUACUCCUUAACCUCCACACCAAGAGAUGAUCAAACCACUUCUUGCACCAUCACACCACCAUCCUUGGGGUCCAAAAGGCAAAUUCCAACAUUAGAAAGGUAAAUAUCCUUCACCAAUUCCCACUUUCCUUCCUCCACAUGAGCAAAACUCCCUAUGGAUAACCUGGUAAGAGCAUCAGCAACCACAUUAACCUUACUUGGGUGAUAGUGAAAACUCAUAUCGUAGUCCUUGAGAAGUUCAAACCAUCUCUUCUACCUAAGAUUAAGCUUUUUUUGAGUGAACACAUGUUGUAGACUCUUAUGAUCAGAAAUCAUAUCCAUGUGCAAACCAUACCAAUAAUGCCACCUUAUUUUUAAAGCAAUCAUAACCUCCAAUAACUCUAAAUCUUGAGUAAGAUAAUUCCUCUUAUGUACUUUCAAAAAUCUAGAAGCAUAGACAAUUACCUUCCCAUACUGCAUUAACACAUAACCGAGCUCUACCCAAGAUGCGUCAUAAUAAACCACGAACCCAUCAUUUCCUUUCGGCAAAUUCAGAAUUAGAGCCAAAGUUAGCUUAUCUUUCAACUUCUCAAAACUUCCCUCACAAUUAUCCAACCAAAAAAACUUAACCUUCUUUUGAGUUAACUUAGUCAAAGGAGCAACUAUCGAUGAAAAGCUUUCCAAAAACCACUUAUAAUACUCGGGCAAUCCCAAUAAGCUCUGAAUGUCAAAUGAAGUAGUGGGUCUAGGCCACCUUUUCAUCAUAAUAACCUUUUGCCGAUCCACCAUGAUCCCCUCAUAGAAAUAAUAUUACCAAAGAAAGUUACAUCUUUCAACGAAAACUCACACACGGAGAACUUGGCAUACAAUUGUUGUUCCUUUAAGGUCUGCAACACCAUAUAGAGGUGAUUAACAUAAUCCACCUUACUCUUUGAAUAAACUAAAAUGUCAUCAAUAAACAUAAUAAUGAAGAGAUCUAAAUACUGAUGAUAAACCCUAUCCAUUAGAUCCAUAAAUGCCUCCAGAGCAUUAGUCAACCCAAAUAACAUUACUAAAAACUCAAAGUGCCUAUACCGAGUAUGAAAAGUUGUCUUAGGGAUAUCUACCUCCCUAAUAUUUAGGUGAUGGCACCCAGACCGAAGAUCUAUCUUAGAAAAGAGCUUGGCACCUUGCGACUAGUCAAAUAGAUCAUCUAUUGGAAAAGGAUACUUGUUCUUAACUUUUACCUUAUUCAACUGCCUGCAGUCAAUGCACAUCUGAAGGGAACUAUCCUUCUUAUACACAAACAACAUUGGUGCACCCCAUGGAGAUACACUAGGCCGAAUAAGCCACUUAUCCAGAAGAUCCUUAAGUUGCUCCUUGAGUUCCCUCAACUCAGCCGGAGCCAUCCUAUAUGAAGGAAUAAAAAUUGGAUGAGUGUCCAAAACUAGAUAGAUACAAAACUCGAUUUCCCUAUACGAAGGAACACCAGGAAAAUCAUCUGGAAAGACCUCUGGAAACUCUUUAACCAGUGGAACUAACUGAAAAGAAGGACUUUUUGAGUUAAAAUCUUUAACCCAGACCAUGUGAUAAAGAAAACCUUUAGAGAUUAACAUCUAAGCUCUAAGAUAAGAAAUAAACCUUCCCUAGUAACUAGCAAACCACCCUCUCUCUCUAUAAUCGGCUCACCAGGGAACCUAAAGACAACCAUAUGGGUCUAACAAUCCAAGGACACAUAAUAAAAGUGUAAAUAAUUCAUACCCAGAAUGACAUCAAAAUCCAUCAUACCCAACUCAAACAGAUCCACCAAGCUCUAUUAGCCACCAACAGAUAACCCCUCUCUAUAGACUCUCUUAGUAAUAACUGAGUCACCUACUGGAGUAGAAACAAAAAAAGGAUUCAAAAUAACUUUUGGAUCAAGACCAAUAGAUAUAACCACAUAAAGAGUCACAUAAAAGAGAGUGGACCCCAGAUUAAGUAAACAAUAUACACCACGAGAGAAGCUAUAAUGUACCAGUAACUACAUCAGGUGAUGCCAUGAAUUUUUGUAAGGAUGCCAAAGACACAAACUAUUCCCACUAACAUUAGAACCAAGAGCAGUAACAGAAGUAGAUGUACCACCACCAAGGGUAGGAGCAGAAGAUAAAGCCAUAGAAAUCCUAUUCUCCCCCGUAUCAACCAUAUUAACUGGACAUUCCCUGAGCUGAUGGCUUGUCUGGCUAUAAUUAAAGCAUUUGUCCCUUCCUUUAUUGCAAUAAACCUAAUGAGGACAACUACAGAAUCAACAAGUAGGGCAUGAAUAAAUUGAUUGACCUACACUUGCCUGAAAUUGGGCACCCUGUGCCCAAAAAUUAUCACUACCUUGAUGACACUUUUCUCCCAUCUAGUAAGGAGAACUAGAAGGAUAGAAGUAAAUAGAACUCUCACACUUCUUUUUAUACCAUUUUCCACCAUCCUGACCACCCUGAGAUAGAGAACCUCCCUGGUCAGAAAAUCUAUUUCUCAAACCCUAUUUAUCUCCAAAAUCUGCAUACUUCUUUCUUUUUAUCCUCUACUUGGUGCAUAUAAAUAGUCAAACAAGAGAUGUCUAUAUCUUUAAUCAAAAAAGCAGUCUUUCUCUCCAAAAUCAAAUCUCAAUUUAACCCAAAAGCAAACUUCCUCAUACUUUCUUGCAUGUAGCUACUAAAUAAAGAGCAUACCUUGACAAUUGGUAAAACUUUAAGGCAUAUUCCUUGAUAGACAUCCACCCUUGCUUGAGGUUCACAACCUCCUCCAUCUUUGCUUCCCUCAACUCUUGGGGAAAGAAAUGAUCUAAGAAGGCCUUAGCAAAAAUAUCCCACAAGACUGAUUCUUCUACAUCAUCUCUAUCCCUAUCCCACUCUUUAUACUAUUGAUAUACAACAUCUUUGAGAUGAUAAGCUGCAAAGUUUACCCACUUAACAUUGGUAGCCUGGAUUACCCAAAAUAUAUUUUCUAUUUCAUCCAAGAAUCCUUGUGGAUCAUCCUCCGCCUUCACUCCAAAAAAAGUGGGAGGACCCAUCUUCAUAAAUUGGCUAACCCUUGUAGUCUCAGCAGAUAAAGCUCUAAUCGCACCCCGCUCAGCAUGAGCAACGACCAUCUGAGCAAUAACAUAAAUAGACUAAUGGAAUUUCAUAUUAGUCACUUUUCCCUUUAGGAGGACUAGUAGCAACUGAUGGAUCUCUAUAUCUAUCAGUGAUAGGACCAUAAUAUAAAAGAUGAACCCCAGAAGUAGGAUGCAUCCCUUCAGCAUUACCCUCAAAUAGGAUAAAAUAAUUUCCUUAUAUUCCAGAUCUAUGAAGCAUGAUCUGAAAGGCGAACAAAUAAGGGUUAGAGAAGAUUUCAAGACUAAGACUCCAAUCUUGAAAAUAGAAUACCAAAAAAGAGAAAUAUUCCUAAAUUCCUUGUAGCCUCUCUCUAAUGAGUGUGGCAUGCUACACACUCCUAAAAGAGACUCUACUCGACACGACUUUAUGGACUCCAAAUUAACCAUGAACCUAGUCUUUGAUACCAACUUGACCUGACCCGACUUGGGGCCUUGUUGUAGUGGACAUCCUAAGUUUGAUUGGGAUGGGACCGGAGACCACCCCUGUUACCUAGCCCAACCUCCAGCCACCAGCCCUUAGUUGGCUCAAUUUUAAUCAUAUAACAAGAUAAUAUAAUGGCUCACCUUAAGACUCUGGUAUAGGAUCACAACCAUGACCGACCCAAUUGAUUCCAACCAUCCCAUACCAAUGAUCUAACCAUACCAAACAAAUACCAAAACAAUGGCCAUAAACCAGGACAUAACCAAAGAUGUUCCAAAAUAUAAUAUAAUUAAUCCCAAAAUAAAAAAUGAUGGAACAAUGAGAAAUCAUGUCCAAUGAUGUCAGCCCACUAGAUUUGUCCAAUGCCAAGGUCGACUCAAAUACCGAUCCCACAUAUUCUAACCCAUAACAGUACUACAGAGCCUCUAACCAAAAGAGUAAGAAUAUCCAGUGGGGACAUUCCCCCAACCGUAGCCAAAACCAAUAUCCAAAAUAAAUACAAAGUGUUCAAAAAUAUCCAUAAUAUGAAAUGGAGCCUUCCAAAAGAAUAGAAGAUCACCACUCAAUCCAAAUACUGAUCCCCAAGUAAAUCACUAUAUAAGAGAAGUAAAAUGACCGGUUCCUGCAUGACGUGGGUAUACAGCCGCCAGUAGAUGGGUUAGCGAGUGAACGUUAGCAUGAUCUCAGUAUAAGGAUAAAAUAAUGCCAUUUAUAAAACCAAGUAAAACCAUUCAUAUGCACACAAACCAUAUAAAUAUAUAUAUAUAUAUAUAUAUAUAUAUAAUCAUUCCAGAAAAGUGGACCAGGUUUAGCAUGCAUUUAAAACCUUUAACUAGGUUGUGUAGCUUUGCCAUCCUAAAUCACCUACGGGGCUAUAUGAGUUUAGCUCCCCAUAAUGAAAGGACCCCUAUGCAUGAAAUCGCACGACUAAGAAAAAACCUAGGAUAAAUAGUACAUCCCCCAAAAUAUAGUGUGACAUCAUGAACACGAUCACUAAGACCAACCUCGUAUCGAAAAAUGUGAGUUUCCAGUCUUGGUCCCCUGGGACUGCCACCUUUUAUGGCUUCGCUACAAAUCCCAUAAUUAAUGCCUAAUGAAAACCAUUAACAAAAAACCAAUCAAUCUAUUUACCAUUUAUUAACCUAGGCCAUUUAGUAGUGGUGUCAUCAUACCGACCAUACUUGCAAGUACAAUCCAUAGCCAACCAUAUAUAGGUUUUAAGAGAACUUCUAAGUGACCUUUUAUUUACCAUAUUAAACCACUUGGGCGAUUCAAUGUACCCCACAAGAAUAACCAUUUCUCUAUUUAACUUUCUAAACCCUUUAAACCAUUCAUAAUUCCUUUACCAAGUUUUAAGACAAGCAAGAGUUCAAUUAAAAUUACUCAAUGCCAUAAAAACGUGCUUAUAGGCAUUUUGUCAAAUACAUUGGGGGCAUAAUAUGGCCAAAACCAAUUCCAAUUACCAUUAAACUAUUCCCAUGCAAUUCAGUUAUCUAAAACCACCAUUAAUGGACAUAAAAAAUAAUUAAAAUCAUGGAAAACCAUAACCAACCAUUAAAUAUCAAAACUCCAAUUCAUAUUUGAAAACCAAAAUCAUACUAUCAAUGAAAUCAUGAAAACAUUGAUAAGAACCAUAAUUAUAGUUAGAAUUAACAAUGAGGGAAGAGAACAUACCUUAAUCCGAGAUGAUGAUGGAAAGAGAUAACCAAGACAAGCCCCAAUGAAUCCUCUAGUUCAAACCCUAGAUUUCCUUUCCCAAAAGAGUUUGAGAGAAUUAUAGAAUGUUUUAGAUAAGUUUCUAAGUUUAAAUGAAUGGAAUAAUAGGGAAAAUAGCCUCCCAAAUAGGUUAUAAGUUGUGGGACCUUAUUAGAAUAAGUGGGGAAAUGUCUAGAAUACCCCCACUUAAGUUGUACAAAAUCCUGUCCCAGGUGUACGAUUGACCCUCAUGAGUCAUACCCUCCAAUAUGAUUGGUACCCUCCACUCAUAUCCUAUCCUCAACCUUUAUAUCCAACCCUAAUUAGAAUAUGAAUGGAACAUACCAUCCAUACCCCAACACAUGACUCGUACCCAUGAGUUGUAUUGAGUCCAGAGACCAAAAUUCUGAGAAAUUUUCUAAGGGUCAAAUCGCAGGGUGUUAUACAAAGCAACCCAAACCUGGUGAUAUUAUUAUGAGAGCUUCUAAUACAAUAACAGUAUCAAGUGAAAUACAAAAUAAAUAUAAGUACAAGUUGUCUAUGAAUACACUGUAGAGAUCAGUUUAAUCUAUAAGAAGAAGAGUAGUAAUACUCAAAAAUUUAAGAAAUCAUCCUGACUAUCUGAUUCAUAGCUACUUUGCAUGAUGGACACAAUAAUAAAGAGAACUCGUACUAUGAUCUAAAGGUUGUAGAAGUGUCGUAUGAGUACCAAACACAUAGUAUUCAGUAGACAUUAAUAGACUGAGUUCUAAAGAUAAUUCAAUCUUAAUUACAUGUAAAGUAGGAAUGUAAACUACAGAGCCAUCCAAGAAACCAUACAUGAUAACUCUAAAGGAGAAAUAAGGGUAAACUCAUCUUAUCCUAAUGGUAAUUAGGGUCUAAAGUGAAAUACUGUCUAUCACUAGUCUUUUAUACAACUAUAAUGACCCUUUAGGUUAUUUUCUAUAUUUUUUCUCAUUUUCUCUAGUUAGAUCUUUCCUAUAUCUUCCCUAAGUCAUUUAUGAAUUACUAGAAUUAGCAGUUUGGUUACUAUGUAGUUUGUUUUAUUUUUAGAGCUAAUUUCCAAUUAUGAAGUCUUCGCUAGCUUAAAUUGUCUACCAGGUUAAAAGUUUAGUCAAAUGACCUCAUAUGCCAAUUUCGAUAGUUCUAAAAACCCCGAAAUAUUAAUUUUAGGCUAGGUGAACCCUUGGUCCAGGUCUUGAAGAUCUUAGACUCAUUUCAUGCUCUUGGAUGGAAGUUAAGAUAAAUGACACAUGGGUGUGGGACCUAUUUUUUCUCAAAACAACUUUGGAUAGAAACUUUGACUGUGUGAUUAAGUAUGUAACAUCAAAUUUUAUAGGGUAGCAUUGUUUAUUUAUGUAUAUAGGAUUCCAUAUAAAUCCCCAAGGGUCGAUAGAGACUUGGAAAUUUCCAAGUUUCAGUUGGUGCUAGUGCAUCACUUAAGUGCCCAUUAGAUCACUUUAACGGUGGCUACUUCAAUGACCAGCUGAUCGCUUAAGUGGCCUGGCAGUUCCUAGUAGGUAUAACUUAAGUGAUGCCUUUAGUGCUUAAGAGAUAGCUAUUUAAGCAGCCAAAGGUCGCUUAAGCGAUUGUGUGCAAAUUUCGCAUGUCGCUAAAGUGACACUUAGUCUCUUAAGUGGCUCAGUGUCUGCUUAAGUGACACCUGGACACCUAGGAAUGCUUUAAAUACCCCCACUUAACCCAAUUUCUCCUAUUUUUCACUUAUUCUCAAGAGUAUAGAACCCUAAAAAGUGUUAAAACUUCAAAGAAUCACUAAUUGGUGAUUUUGGAGCAUUUGUGAACUUAAAUUACGUAUUUCUUGUCUGAAUUCUUGGUAAGAUUCGAUUAAUGUCAUGAUUAUCUCCUUUAAAUUUUUCCAAGAUCCGUAGAAUAUUGGUGGGUUGAUUGUAGCACCUUUAGAGCUUGAAAUUUUAUGUUCCUUGAGCAUAGAGGGACGUAUUGUGAUUUUGGUAGUGUGAUUCUGCAAGUCGGCCACACUUAGGAUUUUUACAUAAUUUUUGACCCGAAGCAUAACAUUGCAGUAUGGACAUCAUUAUUAUAAUUUUGAUAAGUAGAUUGUAAUUUUGAUAUUGUGGCACCUUGCAGAAGCUUCUCAGAAAAGGAAAUCAUUGAUUUAGAAGAUUCUUAGGAUUUUUCUUUGGCAUCCAGGUAGGCUAGGUUUAUCUUCUUCACAGAUUGAAAUAAUCAUAGUACAAUUAUAAUAUUAUACUAGAUAUGGGGUGGGAUUUAGGUUUAGAAGUAUUAACAGUAAAAUUACUACUAUUUGGACAAUUUAAUCUAAUAAGAAACCAUAAUUUAGGCAGAAUUGACUUAGUUUCUCAUGUUCUAGGUAUAAUUAAUUUAUGCAUUUCUUCUUAGAAUUUUUGUUACGAGUCAAUUUAUUUCAUGCUUAAUUCCUCCAUAUUUUUCUAAAAUCCAUGGAAUCUUGGUGGCGUGAUUGUAGCACCAUUAGAGCUUGAGUUUUAUCUGAUUUUGAGGGAAAAUGUUCCUUGAGCAUAGAGGAAAGAUGCAUUGGUUUUAAAAGUGCAAUUCCAUAAAUGGGCCCUAAAUGAGAUUUUUAUGUACUUUUAAUCUUGAAUCACUAUAUAUAAGUAUAGGUAUCAUUGUUCUUAUUUUGAUGAGUAAAUUAUUAUUUUGAGUACGUAGCACUUUGCGGAACCUUCUCAAAAAGGGAAAUCAAAUUUUUAGCAGAUUCUUUGGGCUUUUCUUCGAUGUCUAGGUAGGGUAGGUUUAUAAUAUUUAUAUAUUGAUAUAUUUUACAGUAUGAUUAUGAUAUUAUUCUAGAUAUGGGGUAGGAUUUAGGAGUUGGAGGUAUGAUUGCAAAAUAUUUGGGUUAGUUAAGUUAAUUAGGCUAUCUUGAAAUCGUAAUUUAGGUGUGAUUAACUUUGUUUUUCAUGUUUUAGGGUAAAUUUCUAUAUUAGGACUACUUAUAUCUUAGUUAACAUCUAGAAAUAAGUUUAGAUACCUUAGCCUAGUUCGAGGUAGAGUUUUCCUAAAAUGGACUUUGGGGAUUAGAAGUGGGCUCCUCUAGCCCACCUUAAGCCAAGACCUAUUUUAUCUUUUAUAGACUUAUUUAUGUAUAAUAUACCCUUAUUGAUACUUAUUUUGGGAUUUGAAGAGAUUAAAUACUUAUUGAUUAUGCUAGUAUGAUAAUUGAGAGAUAGUGCUAAUUUUGGGUAAGUUUUGUUGGAUAAUUGUUGUAAUUUAGUGAUAUGGAUUAUGAUUAUGGUUCAUUUACAUGUUCUAUUGAUAUGAUCUAAUAAUAUUCAAUUCUAGUUCAAGUCCAACAAUUAAUGAUGAUAAUUCUAUAUGUGAGUUCCAAUUUUAGUUUGGUAAUUGAUGACAAUGAUUACACAUAUAUGAGGCUCGGUUCAAGUCCGGCAUUUGAUGGUGAUUUUGAUAAUAUGAGAUCCGGUUCAUGUCCAACAAAUGAUGAUGAUACUAUUGAGUUUCAAUUCAAUUCUUACACAUUGGGAGUUAAUAUGAUAUGAUAUGGUUCGGAUGGAUUCUUGUGUAUGACAUGGUAAUUGGUAAUUUAUGAUUACUGGGUUAUUUAAUUUCCUUGAUUUCACCCUCUAGACUUAUGGAGGCCUAAAUUGGUUAAUUUAAUUUUUUAUACAUAUUAGCUUCUAGGGAACAAUGUCAUAGUUAUAGCUGUGUGAUCCUUGCAUUAUUAUUUCGUAUGUACUUAUUUAUUCAUGUACAACAAUGUUGGGGAUUAUUUUUAUGUUUGCCCUUUUACCUUGGAGUAGGGCUCUAUGACUUUUGUAGAGUAUAAGGCACAUUUAUUGCCUUGUCUAGAUAUUCUUAUACCAGUAUUACCACUGAGUCUGAGAAGAUUUAGAAGUUCGUGAAGAGGUUAGAUAUUUAUCUUCAGCUUGCUACAACUUGAAUUAUAGUGCAUGAAGCAUCAUUUUAGAGUAUUAUGGAUUAUGCUAAAAUGACUGAGUCUAUUAUUUGAGCAUCUCAGGGAGGCGCCAAAAGUUGUAUCAUUAGAGUGAGUUCGAAGGCCACGUUCUCUAGGUAAAGAUUCUAGAGGAUUUUGUGGAUCUUGGUAGACCAGUGCAGGUAGCCUUAAAGAGUUUAGGUAAGGGGUCUUUUAGUUCAAUAGCUUCAGGUGCCUUCCUAGCUUAGCCUUACCUCUUUCUAGUGAGUCGAGUCAUAGGGUUUUCUUUAUGUGUGAUGAGGUUGGCUAUGCUGCCAAAGACUAUCCUCACCAAGUUUUUGAGCUACUCUCAUAUCGACUGUGAGAGAUAGAGGUUCUACUAGGCAUGUGAAAGGCGGAGACAGUCGUUCCCGUGGUGGUAGUCGUGGAACUGUCUAGUUAAGUGGUGGACAUAGUUAGUGCUAUGCUAUACCUGUCAGGCUAGACGUGGAGGACUCUGAUGUUGUCAUCAAAGGUAUCAUCCCUAUUUAUUUUAGAUUUCCAUCUAUGUUAUUUGAUUCGAGGUCAAUUUUCUGCUAUGUGUGUACAUAUUUUGCUUUGGGUUUUGAUUCUUCUAGUAAACCUCUUGUCAUACCUAUCCGUGUAUCUACCCCUAUAGGAAACUCUUUAGUGAUGGAUUAGGUGCACCGCUCUGCAUUGUGACUUUUGUUGGGUGUGAGACUUGGGUAAGACUGAUUAGAUUAGAUAUGGAAGAUUUUGAUGUCAUUGUCACAACCCAAUUUCUUACACCACGUGGCACCUAUAAUAACCCACCAGUAGGGAAGGCAAGCCCGUAGUCUGAAAAGGCUAGUAACAAACUACCCAAGUAUGUAUAUAUAUAGAGAGAGAAUGGAAUGCAUAAUAGAUGAAGUAAGAGAAACAAAUACAUAGUAAAUACCCAAAACCUGGUAGUAUGAGUACAAGAGCUGCUAUUAUAAAAAGAGUACAAGAGUGAGAUAAAUAAAAUAAAUUACAUUGAUACAACUUAUCGCUGAAUACAACAUAUAGACUAGGCUAUUACAUAGAAGGAGGUGCGUAAUACUCCAAAUGUCAGGAGCUCACUCUAAGCCUCUGAACCAUGGCUACUCCACAUGAUGUACACAUCAAUGGCAAUAACCCAUUCUAUGAUCUGAAGGCUGCAACAAUGUAGUAUGAGUACCAUAAUAAUAGGUACUCAGCAGGCAUCAUCAGCCGACUGAGCUAACUGAUGAUAUAAAGAUGAUAUAAUACGAGUCAAUCAUAACUACGAGUCAAUCAUAACUAAGUCAAGGUACAAAAUCGAACCUGAAUCAUAUCCAUCAUUAAUAUGUAUAAUAAGUAAUCAAAAUAGAAUAAUAGUAUAACAUAAGGCAUCAACACAUGCCAAUAUCAUUGUACACAACAAGUAAUAAAUAUCGGAAUAACAAUAUAACAUAAGGUGCCAACGCAUGCCUAUAUCACUGUACAUAAGAGUUGGACUAUUCAGAAUAAUAAUGUAUCAUAAAACAUCAACAUAAGCAAUCACAAGUACAAAGUUAGCUCCCAUAUGACAACUGGUGUGUAAAGUAAAGAACUCAUCACAGUGUCCCAUAUCACUGGAGAGUACACCUAAGAUAAAUGUAAGGGAAUCUAAUAAAUAAUAUAUCCAAACUCCAUUGAUAUUCAACCGUUAUUCUGCGAUUACCAUUAAUCAAUCAAUUUAUCAAUAUUCCACAAUUAUCAUCAAUCGAAAGUUCACCAACCUUCCUUGAUUAUCAUUUACAUUCAUAAUUAAACAACAUAUGAAUAUAUGUAUAACCAUAACAAUACCAUCAUCUAGACAGCUAUAUCCUCUAUAUGCACUAAUAGCUCUUUAUUAGCAAGCCAACUCUUAUUUACUAAUCCAAUUACUCACUGGUCAUCAUAUACCUUCUAAUUUAUAUUUAUAACUAUUCACCACAUAAUCACUAUUAUGGGUCAACAACUAGUCAUCACAAAUUCACUAAUCACCAUAUUUAUCAACUAGACAAUAUUUAUUUCUAGCCAUCAUAAAUUCUCUAAUCACCAUUGAUCCAAUAACUACUAAUCACCAAUUAUUGACUAAACGCCAUCGAGUAACUAGCAUCACUACUCAUCAAAUCCUCAUUUGGAAACUAGUCAUUGUCAUCGACUAAAUUAUUAUUAUCAACUAAUAAUCAUUGCUAUAAGUCUUCAUUUAUGCUAAACAUCAUUAUAGGUUAAUCAUCAUAAUUACCAGUCGUCAAUACCACUAAUACUUAUUAUUGCUAAUGUUCAAUUAUCUAGAAGUCAUUAUUAACCUCUUAAUUAAUAAUCACCACUAAUCGUCUUUUCAACAUUAAAUCAACAAUGAUACCACUUUAUACCUUGAUCACUAGAAAACUAUGUCCGGCAUCUCUAAUAUCAAUACUAUACCCAACUACACAUGAUCAUAAAUAAUAUAUAAUUUCCAUACAUAAGGCUAGCAGGACUCGAACCGGUAGAUGUACCUAUAGGCAUAUCAAUAAUCAUCCUCCGGCCUUGCAGAGUAUAUACGUAUCAUUAUAAUCAUCCUUUUUCCUUGUCGGGUAUCAUCAUAUCAUCAUAAUAUCCUCUGGUCAUACCGGGUAUCAUCAUAUCAUCAAAUAUCCUCCAGCCUUAUUGAGUAUCAUUGUGUCAUCAUAAUAUCCUACGGACUUGCUGGGUAUCAUCAAAUCAUCAUAAUAUUCUCCUCUUAUAUCAGGUAUCAUUAUAUCAUCAUAGUAUUUCCUGGCCUUGUCGAGCAUCAUCACAUCAUCAUAGUAUCCUCCAACUUUGUAGGGCAUCAUCAUAAUAUCAUGGUAUAAUACGGACUUGCCAAGCAUCUUCAUAAUAUCUACAUUAAUAUCAAUAAUAAAGAUCAAGGCUCAUGAAUACUACAAUAAAGGACAAGUCCCAUGAGGGUUAAAGUAAAUAAACAUAAAAGGAAAAGCAAGAAGUGCAUACCUCCAUAUUUCCUCAUUCGUUAUGUCACAUUAUCAAAAAGUGUCUAUGUAUGUAACAUGAAUGUUAUACGUGUUAUAUGUGUAACAUAGAUUUUAUAUGUAUCAAUAAGUGUCCCAAAAGAUUUAUCCUUUCAGCAACGCAAAUGGUUCAUGUAUAAGGUGAGGAAACAUUUCUAGGAUGAGCCUUACUUUUUUUUAAAUUUGUAUGAAUGGAGAUAUUCAGAGAUAUAUUCUAGAGAUAGAAAUAAAGACCAUCCUUGAUUCUUUUCAUUCAUCACUAGUUGGGGGUCAUCAUGGUGUUACCCACACAAAUCAUAAAUUCUACACUAUGGGUACUAAUGGUUGACUAUUUACAAGGAUACUCAUGAUUUUGCUCAAGGCUGUGAUCAAUGUUAGCGGCAAGGUAAUAUUUUGUGACAAGAUGAACUCCCUAUGAAAUUGAUCUUAGAGUUAAAGUUGAUUGAUGUAUGGAGAAUUGAUUUCAUGGGCCACUUUAUGACCUCUUAUGGGAUAAAUUAUAUUUUGGUAGUGGGUGACUACAUUUCUAAAUGGGUGGAGGUAGUGUGCUUCCCAACAAUAAAGGCAGAAGUGUCACCAUAUUUUUAUAGAAUAAUAUUUUUUCUUGACUAGGCACUCCCCGUGAUAUUAGUGACAGUGAUUCCCACUUUUGUAAUCAUCUUUUUAAGAUGCUACUCUAAAAAUAUGGUGUGAAGCAUAAGGUGGCAACACUUUACCAUCCUCAGAUGAGUGGGCAGGUUGAGGUCUCCAAUUGUGAGAUCAAGUUCAUAUUGGCAAAGACUGUGAAUGUAAUAAGACUAAUUUUUCAAGAAAGUUAUGCUACUCAGUGUGCCUAUCAGGCAGCUUUUAAGAUACCCCAUAGGUGCCUCUCCAUAUCAUCUUAUGUACGAUAAGGCAUACCACUUGUCGAUCUAACUUAAGAACAAGGCAUUAUGGGUAUUAAGAAAGAUCAAUUUUUAGUGGAGUGAUGAAGCUAAGUUAAGGAUGAGCGAAGUGAAUGAGUUGGAUAAAUUUUAUCUUUGAGAUUAUGAGAGUUAAUCAUGUACAAUGAAAAGAUAAAGCUGUAUUACGACAAGAAGAUCAAGAAAAAGGUAUUUGAUAUCGGUGAUAUGGUCUUGUUAUAUAAUUUAAUACUUUACUUGUUUCCUGCUAAGUUAAAUUCUAGGUGGUAUGGAUCAUUCGCUCUGCUUAGGGAGUUCCCGUAUGGGGCUAUUGUGUUGAAAUGUGAUGGUGAAGCCCUGUUUAAGGUGAACGGACAGCGUGGAAAGCACUAUAUGGGGAAUAUUGAUGAUGUGACAAUUUAUGUCGAUGUAAGCCUUGGUAAAGUCUUAGUAGCCAAGCCUUGGAAGGCAACCCAUAGGCUUACUAGUGAAGUCUAAGUAACCUACAUAGCCACGCUAUUCCAUGACAUUAAAUCACACAUUGGGAGGGAGGCAAACCACUAUUUUAAGUUCACUUUGUUUUCAUUUUGGUAGGUGUAAAACAUGUGGAAUACCUGGAAUAUUUGUAAAAAUUGUAAGAUUCAAAAAAUUCUAGGUAAGGGGAUUUACUGACCCACUUAUGAGGGUUAUAAGUCUCACCUAAUCUAGGUAAUAAAUUCAUAGAUAUUAGAGUGAAAAUAUAAGAAUUUUUAGGUCUCUGAACUUUUACUUAUGAACCCACUUACGGGGAUCGUAAGUUCAACUUACAACCCUAUAAGUGGGGUUUUUGAAAUUAGAACCAACAUUCAGAGAGGUUUUAGAUUUUUUUUCUACUUAUAACGGACCACUUACGGGUCAUAAGUAUCACUUACGAGUCAUAAGUGGCCCUGUAAGUGGUCAAAAAAUCUAGGCUUGAGAUUUUUGAAAUUGGGUUGGGCCCAAGGGACCCGACUCAAUUGACCCAACCAUCACCCUUAAAAACCCUAAACCUGAUCCAUAUCCCCCACAUUCUUAGAUUUUGUAACUCCCUCCUAAAUUUAAAUUCUCCACCUCCCCAUUAACUCCAAAAAAAGGCAAGAAUCUCUCAUUGUCCAUACUUGCAUGCGUACAAAAUCCAAAGUUAGGGUUUUCAUCAGGCUAAUCAGCUUUCUACUUCCAUCACUUGCAACUAAGGUAAAAUUAUUAGCUCUUAUUUGGUAUUAAAUUGUGCUAUUUGUAAAGAACUUAAGUUGGUACUUGAAAGAAUCCUGAUAAUAAAAUAAAGGUCAUGGUCUAUAAUAGUUAGAAGCCUAAAUUAAUUAACAUCUGAGAUUGUUGUGUUGUUUCUUGAAUGGGAAAUAUGUAAUUAUGCCCUACAUGGAAGUAGAAGUUACAGAAGUAGAAGAAAAAUCCAAACCUCUUGUGUAAUGCCUAUGAAUUUGAACUUGAUAAAUGUUGUUAUUUGCGAUAUUAGACUUAAAAUUGCAAAAUAAAUUAUGGGAUAAAAAAUUUGAGAAAAAAAUUGAAGUACCCUAUGUAGGGUAUCUAUGAUGGUACUUAUGAGCCACAUAAGUAGACUUACAGGCCGCAAGUGGCUUCGUAGAUGUCAGAUCUGAAGCCCUAGAGUUUCAGGGAUUUGUCUGACACUUACGAGGGUACUUACAACACUCAUAAAUAGAACUUAUAGACCAUAAGUGGUUCCAUAAGUGCCAUGACCUGGGUGUUUUGAUUUUAUUUUCAAACAUAUUGCUCCCCUCUUCUAUAUCAAACACUAACAACAACUUUUUCAGGUAUCGUGGCACCUACAGUAUCCUAAAAGAAAAAAGUUCAUUCUACGCUGUAGGGGGAGUCUGUGAGUGCAUUGGCUUAGUGGAGGAGUGCCUGGUGAUCCUGGACAGACCUUUGGACCCACGACAAACCAGGGGUCACUCUCAGAAAGAGAUUAAAGCUACAGUGGUCAUAGCAACUACAUUAGGAAUUCAGGGUACCAGACUUACCCUAGCACAGACCCAACUAGGCACUCAGCCCGCACCAACAUAGGUCGAGGCCCAGACGGCCACAAUUAGACCUGUUCCCAAGCUGAGGAUAAAGAAGGAUCAGUACUAACCAACAUACUCUCCCUAAUCUAAGGAGGGAGAGGCUGCUUCUAAGAAUGAAUCAGAGGAUGAGAGAGAUUCACCAUCAGGGCUCGAACAACAGGUUGAGUUUGUAUUGGCAUCAAAGUCUAUAGAGAAGGAGAAUACAUACAACUCUCAAUUUUAGAAGGGGUCGAAGGAUGCAUCUGGAGUCAUCUAGUGAGUCAUCUUCAGGCCCGAUUGCACCCUGGUCUGAGGAGGGUGCAAAUUAGGUCCCUCGAGAGAUCUCUUCAUCCUCAGCAUAGGAUGUUUCACCUAUUGGACAGGACAAUCAAGCCCCAGUACCACCACCUAUUACCCUAGGAUCUGACUUUAUACACAUCUCAGUUGUGCCUAUAGCUAAGAUAAACUUGAGAUGGUGUGUAAGAGGGGAUGCUACAUAUCCUUAAUAGGGACAGCCAUAUCAUAGAUAUAGCUCGGCCUAAGAGGGGUAUUACAGCCAAAAGGAGGGUAGAUUUGAUAGGACUAGUAGGGAAAACAUACCUGCAUGCCUUUUUUGAAUGAUAUCAGUUGGGUGGAUAACUCAUCCCUAGGGUUCUUACAGCUUGGCUCUAGUCCAGGAAUUUUAUGCUUCCUACACCUUCACACUAUACUUAAUUGCUCCAUGGGAGGGUAUAGAAGUAGAGAAGACACAGUUAGAGUAUACUCUAGUGAGAGGUGUCAAAAUUUAUAUUUUUAUGAAAGCUAUCCACCGAGUAUUAUUUGGGCCAAAGUAUAUGGCACCAAUAUAUACGGCAGAGUUUGACUUUACGAUGAGAUUCACAUGGGAUAGACAUGCUAUAACAGAUGUAGAUUUUAGAUAAUAAAGGCUGGAUUUGGCAAGGUGGAUAGCAUCCCACUUCUAACUUGGUCAAUAAUGCCCCCUAUAUAGAGGAAAAGGGGAAACUAAAGAAGGAAGAUUCGUAUUUUACAGCAAAAUUUUGGUAGAACGUGGUGCUAGUUAGACUGAGUCUAACUUUUUCUAAAAAUUUUCUUACAUGGGAUAAGCUCGUAUUGGUUUCCAGCUUCUUUGCUAGAUAUGAUAUAGAUUUUGCUGCAUGGAUCAGGCAGGAGAUCCAUGUUAGAGUGUUGUUUAGUGAGACCGUUACUCUCCCCUUCCCUUAUCUUAUCCAGUAGCUAUGUGAUAGAAUCAGAGUUCCAGAUAUACCUGAUGUUGAUAGAAGUAUUGAUGUGAUGAGCAUAGCAGACAUUAGUUUAAUCAAGGAUCUGGCUAACCCAGUCCUUGCAUAGAGAGCUCAACCACCUCCUACUAUGAUUUUGGUCUAUUUUAAGGGACCAUCAGUUUUGGUUGAGGUUAUUAAUAGGCCAAAUAUUAGUAAUGAUAUUAUGAUAAACGAGCAGAGAGCUCAACCCAAGAUUACUACUGAAGGGGAGGAGGCCCUGACUACUGCUACUUCAGCCUCGGUUUCUACAUUUGAGUUGGCUAAGGCAUCCACAAUGCCCCCUCUUAUUAUUAUUAUUGGUAUUAUUGGGGUACCGUAAGAGCUUUUACAUAUGUUGGUGGAGCGGCAGGAUGAGUUGACAUCCCUCCUUACUGAUAUCAAGACUCAGCUUUCUAUGUUGUAUGCAUAGAUUCAUCCUUGGGUCUAGACCACUCUAGAGAAUGCUUAGUCUUAGAUAAGGUAUGAGAUGUGAGCUAAGAUGAUGAAGUUUCCAAGUGAGUUGCAUGCCUGGAUUUAUUCCUUUGAAGGCUCGGUGAGUGCAUAGUUUAGUAAGGUAUAUACUCUGAAUCUAUCUGCAAAUCAGAGGAGAUGGCCAAAUUACAUGCCGAGGUACGCUUUUUUGUGGAGAUCCUAGUUCUAAUAAUUCCCUUGAUAAUCCCAACAUUCAUAUAGUUAUUUCCUCCAUGUAUAUCUAAGUGGUUUGACUUGUUUUCUAAGAAGGAGAUGAUCCUGACUGUUGGGACCAAAAAGAGGAGCUACAGGAACCCCACUACCAUUUGAUCAGGACCUGAAAAGGGCCACCACUGAUUCUAAUAUGACUUGGAUGGUUGAGUAGAAGAGACGAGCUGAGAUAGCAGUAGACGCGUCUUCUAGUCAUGACCACCACCACCGCUGCCUCCGCCAGUUGAAAUGCCUCCUAUUGUUGCACCACCGCCUGACCAGAGACGGCGAUUCUGAGACUGAUGCCUAGAGAAUUUUAGGUAUAUCUGCGUCCCUUGUUUUUGAUUAUAGUUAUGCACUGGGGAUAGUGUAUAGUCUUUUCAUUAGGGGUGGAUCUGUUCUAUAGCCUUGGGUUUUGCUUGUUGUGCUUAUUUUACCAUCAGCUACAGUAUCUUAGUAGAACCAGCAUGUUUAGGUUGUUUUGUGUUGUGUGUUGUAUUUUGUUUAUGUUUAACUAGAAAAAAAAUAAGGAACCUUAAGGUAGUUACCUUAUUUUUAUUGUGUUCAAAUGUUUUGAGAAAAAUGAUAUCCCUCCAAAAAGUUUAUUUUGAACUGAGUGAUGUGUUUAUAUGUGUGACUACUGUGAAACUUGUUACAGCAUUAGGACUUAGGGACAAAAUAAUCAUAGCUAGCAUUUGCAUGUACUGGUUAUGUAAUAGCUGGUAAUAUAACCUAGUUACUAUGUGUGUGUGAGAUUGCUUACCUAGUUUUCUUUGUUUAUUUAAUCCAAAACUUGCUCGAUAGUCUUGCCUAAGUUGUUGGGUAGUCAGUUAGGAAAGGAUCAUGGGAUGUUCUUGAUUUACUCCCCUCUUAUCCUAAAUGACCAUCCAAAUGAAAAAAGAGUAUCCCUUGAUCCCUAAUUUGAUCCUGCAUAGACCUAUUUUCUUAUUUUCACCUUUCACAUUUCCAAUUUAAUUACAAUGAACCUAUUUUGGCCAUGGUCUCUCCUUGGAUAUUGUGCACCUCAACUCAGGCAAAUCGUCUAAGUUGAGGGUGGCUAUCAUAAGGGUGUAUAGUUAAAAUUUGGAUAUGAAGAAGGGUUUGAAAAAAAAAAGUUAGGCUUGAGUGUGGUAAAAAUAAAAAAAUGAAAAAGAGAAAAACAAAAAGAAACAAAGAAGUGAAAAAGAAAGAAUAAAAGAAAUUGUACCCAACCUAAAUAAGUAAUAAAAUAGAAAAAGGGAGAAAUAAGGGAGAAACAAAAGAAAAGUUAUGGUUGAGUGGUAGUGUCAGGGAGGGUUAGUCACUAAUUCCUGAAUGCACCAUACCAUCCCCCAAGCCUAAGUUACAAGCCUAAUAAAGUCAUAAAGUAAUCCUAGUCUGAUUGUCCAAAAAACUAAGGUGAAGAAAAUAAGGGCAAGCCUAUGAUAUGCUAUGCAUAUUGAUUGGAACUUCUUUUAUGAGUGUGAGUGUCUUGUUAUCAUCUCUGCAUUAACAUGCAUGAUUAUACUAUAAGAAUGGGACUUCUUUGUAAUGAGGGUACACUGGUUAUGUUGCUAGUUGCUCAUCUAUUCAGGUAGUGUAAUUUGCAUAUUCGUUUGAUUAUUUGUUGCUAGUAUGAUGUCAUAGCUUCAUUUCUUUCUGUUUAACAAUGGGUUUUGAAAAGUUAAAAAUAAGUGGAGAUGAUAUUUUGAGAUGAAAUUAAAUUGACUUGUUUUCUCUUGGUUAAGCAUCGUCGUGUUAUUUUUGUUAUGUGUGUGUUAUCUAUGUUGAGGGUAUUGAUGUGACAUAGUUUCAUGGCACUUUUGAUGCUUAAAAUUGGAAAAUAUGUAAGUACUUAGGUUCGUUCUACUAGAUAUGAUGUGUUUUUUGGGUUUAUGUUGCAUGAAACUAGGUUUUCGAGCUUAAAAGAAGAAAAAAAAGUUAAAGGCUGCAGAAAUAUGAGACCACCUACGUGUCGUAAGUGCAACUUACGACAACCAUAAGUGUCCUCCUAAGUAUUAGAGGUGGCAAGAUCAUA
rnacentral:lncRNA from 1 species